UGAGAGCAAACCCUUGCUCCUCUGAGGCAUCGUCCUGUUUUACCCCUCACGGUGCUUCCGCCUCACUCAGAUCACCAAUGCCCAGGCUCUCCAGCCAUCAGCCUCAUCUGCUCCUCUGAUGCCUGGCGAAGCUCUUUCAAGAGGCACUUUGCCACCGUCUUGUGAUCUGUUGCCCUCUACUCUCAGGGGUCACCCCUGGACUUGGCUUCAGCUCCCAAACUGCUGAACUUCACUGAAGCAUGUUUUGGAGUUGUAUGAACUGAGGCCAUAACAAAUGGCAUCACAUUAGCUUUCGUGGGCCUCCUUCAGUUGAGCGCUACCUUGACUGUUUCUUUAAGACUAUGGGCCGUGUUUUGCUCAGCGCAGUUCUAAAUCGUCUCCAUCAUCCUCGGCCUCCAACCCUGUCCCAAGCAAGGCAAAGAGAGGAUUCCUCCCUCAAGGGGAAAUUGAAGGCAUUUCCCCCAGCACAUAGACCUCCUCUGAGAACUUCCUCCACUCCAGGGUGGCCUUGAUCUACAAGAUCCUACACCCUUGACCCCGGCUGGUUGGAUCCAGUCUCUCAAGAAUAUGGAAUGAUCGUGGGAAGUGAUGCAAACUCAGAAGUGAGCCGCCAUCUUCAAUCACAUGUACGGAGAUGCAGAGAAGUCUGGCUUGUGAAAAGAAGCACAGAUGGAGCAAAGUGAGCCCCUGGCCCAGCAGCUGUACAAUAAUAAAUGCUCAAUCAAUGCUUGGUGAAAUUUCAUGAACAAAGACUGUCCUCUCCUGGGAUGAAGGCCUGAGACUGCAAGGAUAGCUGAGUGCACUCGAGAAGAACUUAUUGAAGUUUUCUUUCACGUGAUGACUGAUGACUUGAAUGAAAUCAUUAGUAAUGCAAUCAGGCAAAUAAAAUAGGACUUUUUGGCAGGCAAGCUUAGAGAAGCUCUAGUUAUGAGUUAUUCCUUAUGAAGAGUUCAGAGAAAAUCCCUUUCCUAUUUCUGUCCUGGUUGCU